UCAGCACUGGGGCUGAGCUGGCA
rnacentral:miRNA from 1 species